rnacentral:rRNA from 1 species
AUUGAACGCUGGCGGCAGGCCUAACACAUGCAAGUCGAACGAGUGGCGGACGGGUGAGUAAUGUCUGGGACACUGCCUGAUGGAGGGGGAUAACUACUGGAAACGGUAGCUAAUACCGCAUACCAUCAGAUGUGCCCAGAUGGGAUUAGCUAGUAGGUGGGGUAACGGCUCACCGAGGCGACGCUCCCUAGCGGGUCUGAGAGGAUGACCAGCCACACGGGAACUGAGACACGGUCCAGAGUCCGACGGGAGGCAGCAGUGGGGAAGAUUGCACAAUGGGCGCAAGCCUGAUGCAGCCGUGCCGCUUGUAUGAAGAAGGCCUUCGGGUUGUAAAGGACUUUCAGCGGGGAGGCGUUACCCGCAGAAGAAGCACCGGCUAACUCCGUGCCAGCAGCCGCGGUAAUAC